AAUAGAUACCCCGGUAGUCCAUGCCGUAACGUUGGGAACUAGAUGUAGGGCCUGUUCCACGGGGUUCUGUGUCGUAGCUAACGCAUUAAGUUCCCCGCCUGGGGAGUACGGCCGCAAGGCUAAAACUCAAAGGAAUUGACGGGGGGCCCGCACAAGCGGCGGAGCAUGCGGAUUAAUUCGAUGCAACGCGAAGAACCUUACCAAGGCUUGACAUAUAGAAGAACACUGCAGAGAUGCAGGACUCUUUGGACACUUCUAUACAGGUGGUGCAUGGUUGUCGUCAGCUCGUGUCGUGAGAUGUUCGGUUAAGUCCGGCAACGAGCGCAACCCUCGUCCUAUGUUGCCAGCACGUAAUGGUGGGAACUCAUGGGAUACUGCCGUGGUCAACACGGAGGAAGGUGGGGAUGACGUCAAAUCAUCAUGCCCCUUAUGUCUUGGGCUUCACGCAUGCUACAAUGGCCGGUACAAAGGGCUGCGAUACCGCAAGGUGGAGCGAAUCCCAAAAAGCCGGUCUCAGUUCGGAUUGGGGU
rnacentral:rRNA from 1 species